UACGUAGGGUGCAAGCGUUGUCCGGAAUUAUUGGGCGUAAAGAGCUCGUAGGCGGUUUGUCGCGUUGUUCGUGAAAACUCACAGCUCAACUGUGGGCGUGCGGGCGAUACGGGCAGACUGGAGUACUGCAGGGGAGACUGGAAUUCCUGGUGUAGCGGUGGAAUGCGCAGAUAUCAGGAGGAACACCGGUGGCGAAGGCGGGUCUCUGGGCAGUAACUGACGCUGAGGAGCGAAAGCGUGGGGAGCGAACAGG
rnacentral:rRNA from 1 species